rnacentral:lncRNA from 1 species
UUGUCUGGAGUGCAGUGGCUGGAGUGGAGUGGCUAUUCACAGCUGAGUUUGCAGAGUAAACCACUACCCUGAAAUCUGGAAAGGCAGGUGCACCCAUAGAUCCUCAGCUGAGAUCCAAUUACCUGAAAUAGAAGCUGCCAUUAGGAACACUUAAAAGCUCUGCAGGCUGGAGUUCACCAUUCAGCAUCUGGCAAGAGCUUGGGUAUUAACCAUUUUUGCUUUGAAGAUGGUGCCUUUUCACUGCGUCUUCACAUGGCAGAAGGGAUAAAUGAACUCCAUUGGGCCGCUUUUAUAAGGGCACCAAUCCCAUUCAUGAGGGCUCCGUCCCCAAGAUCUAAUCACUUCCUAAAAGCCCCAUCUCUUAAUACUAUUGCACUAGGGAUUAGGAUUCAACAUUUGGCGAGAACAGAAACAUUUAGGCCAUAACACAGAGCCUGUUCUGCUGGGACACAGAAUCACUUGCUCCAUCUCAUACAUUGAUGAUGAUUAAUUUGUAUGUGUACCUUCCAAAAAAAGAUGGUUGUGUUUGAACGGAGGCCUUCUGGACAGGAAAAUAUGGAGAGUGCGUGCUUUGGAUUCAAGACUGGGAAUGAGGGGACCAGAAACCUAUUCUGUGGCUGU